rnacentral:rRNA from 1 species
UACGAAGGGGGCUAGCGUUGCUCGGAAUCACUGGGCGUAAAGCGCACGUAGGCGGCUUUUUAAGUCAGGGGUGAAAUCCUGGAGCUCAACUCCAGAACUGCCUUUGAUACUGAGAAGCUUGAGUCCGGGAGAGGUGAGUGGAACUGCGAGUGUAGAGGUGAAAUUCGUAGAUAUUCGGAAGAACACCAGUGGCGAAGGCGACUUACUGGACACAUAUUGACGCUGAGGUGCGAAAGCGUGGGGAGCAAACAGG